AGAAUCAACGCUGGCGGCGUGCCUCAGACAUGCAAGUCGAACGCGAAAGCCCCCCUUCGGGGGGCAAGUAGAGUGGCGCACGGGUGAGUAACACGUAGGUAAUCUACCUUCGGAUGGGGAAUAACAAUCGGAAACGGUUGCUAAUACCGCAUAAUGCAGCGGCACCUAAUGGUGACAGUUGUUAAAGCGGGGGAUCGAAAGACCUCGCGUCUGAAGAGGAGCCUGCGGCGGAUUAGCUAGUUGGUAAGGUAAUGGCUUACCAAGGCUACGAUCC
rnacentral:rRNA from 1 species